CCUACGGGGGGCUGCAGGCGCGAAAACUUUACAAUGCCGGCAACGGCGAUAAGGGGACCUCGAGUGCCAGGUUACAAAUCUGGCUGUCGCGAUGCCUAAAAAGCAUUGCAUAGCAAGGGCCGGGCAAGACCGGUGCCAGCCGCCGCGGUAACACCGGCGGCUCGAGUGGUAACCGUUAUUAUUGGGUCUAAAGGGUCUGUAGCCGGCCGGGUAAGUCUCUUGGGAAAUCCAGCAGCUUAACUGUUGGGCUUUCAGGAGAUACUGCCUGGCUCGAGGCCGGGAGAGGUGAGAGGUACUUCAGGGGUAGGGGUGAAAUCUUGUAAUCCUUGAAGGACCACCAGUGGCGAAGGCGUCUCACCAGAACGGACCUGACGGCAAGGGACGAAAGCUAGGGGCACGAACCGGAUUAGAUACCCUAGUAGUC
rnacentral:rRNA from 1 species